AUUGAACGCUGGCGGCAUGCCUUACACAUGCAAGUCGAACGGUAACGCGGGGCAACCUGGCGACGAGUGGCGAACGGGUGAGUAAUGCAUCGGAACGUGCCCGGUAGUGGGGGAUAACUGCUCGAAAGAGCAGCUAAUACCGCAUACGACCUGAGGGUGAAAGGGGGGGAUCGCAAGACCUCUCGCUAUCGGAGCGGCCGAUGUCGGAUUAGCUAGCUGGUGGGGUAAAGGCCUACCAAGGCGACGAGCCGUAGCUGGUCUGAGAGGACGACCAGCGACACUGGGACUGAGACACGGGCCAGACUCCUACGGGAGGCAGCAGUGGGGAAUUUUGGACAAUGGACGCAAGUCUGAUCCAGCAAUGCCGCGUGCAGGACGAAGGCCUUCGGGUUGUAAACUGCUUUUGUACGGAACGAAACGGUGAGCUCUAAUAUAGUUUGCUAAUGACGGUACCGUAAGAAUAAGCACCGGCUAACUACGUGCCAGCCGCCGCGGUAAAAC
rnacentral:rRNA from 1 species